rnacentral:lncRNA from 10 species
UUUCACUAUGUUGGCCAGGCUGGCUUUUCUUUGUUUGUUUUUUGAGACAGGGUCUUACUCUCUUUUCCAGGCUAGAGUGCAGUGGUGCAAUCAUGGCUCACUGCAGCCUCAACCUCCUAGGCUCAAGCAAUCCUCCCACCUCGGCUUCCCAAAGUGCUGGAAUUACAGACAUGAGCUACCAUUCUUUUUUUUUUUUUUUUUUUUUUUUGAGACAGAGUCUUGCUCUGUUGCCCAGGCUGGAUUGCAGUGGCACAACCUCGGCUCACUGCAACCUCUGCCUCCUGGGUCAAGCAAUUCUCCUGCCUCAGCAUCCUGAGUAGCUGGGACUACAGGCGAUUGCCACCAUGCCUGGCUAAUUUUUGUAUUUUUAGUAGAGAUGGGGUUUCAGCAUGUUGGCCAGACUGGUCUCAAACUCUUGACCUCAAAUGAUCUGCCCGCCUCGGCCUCCCAAAGUGCUGGAAUUACAGGCAUGAGCCACUGCACCCGGCCACUAUUCUUAUUUUCACUUACAGAUGAGGGAACCAAGACCCUGAGAGGUGAAGUCAUUUGCCUUUGAUGACACAGGAAGUCAGCCAGGGGCUGGGAUUCGUGCCCAGGCUCCUCAAGUGAAGCAGUGAGUGUGGAGAAGGAACAAAGCAAUCUGUAACUGGUUGUGAUCAAUUAGUUGUAAACACAAUUUUUUUUUUCAUUUUAGUGUGCCAUUUAGUUUUUUUCUAUUUAUUAUUGUUUUUUGAGAUGGAGUCUUGCCCUGUUGCCAGGCUGGAGUGCAAUGGCAUGAUCUCGGCUCACUGCCACCUCCGCCUCCUGGGUUCAAGCAAUUGUCCUGCCUCAGCCUCCCAAGUAGCUGGGACUACAGGCGUGCGCCACCAUGCCCAGCUAAUUUUUGUAUAUAUAUAUUUUUGAGAUGGAGUCUUGCUCUGUCGCCUAGGCUAGAGUGCAGCGAUCUCUGCUCACCGCAACCUCCACCUCCCGGGUUCAAGCGAUUCUCCUGCCUCAGCCUCCCGAGCAGCUGGGACUACAGGUGUGCGCCACCAUGCCCAACUAAUUUUUGUAAUUUUUUCUUUUUUUGAGAUGGAGUCUUGCUCUGUUGCCCAGGCUAAAGUACAGCGAUCUCUGCUCACCGCAACCUCCACCUCCUGGGUUCAAGCAAUUCUCCUGCCUCAGACUCCUGAGUAACUGGGAUUACAGGCACCUGCCACUGCGCCUGGCUAGUUUUUGUAUUUUUAGUAGAGAUGGGGUUUCACCAUCUUGGCCAGGCUGGUCUCGAACUCCUGACCUCAUGAUCCCUACGCCUCAGCCUCCCAAAGUGCUGGGAUUAUAAGCGUGUGCCACCACGCCCAGCCUAAUUUUUGUAUUUUUAGUGGAGAUGGGGUUUCACCUUUUUGGCCACAAUGGUCUUAAUCUCUUGACCUGUGAUCUGCCUGCCUCAGCCUCCCAAAGUGCUGGGAUUAUAGGUGUGAGCCACUGCGCCCAGUUAGGUUGGUUAUUUUUAAAUAAUUAUUUUAUGCUAAUUUAUGGGAUAAGAUAUGUUUCAAAUUUAUGUUUGUAUAAGUUCAUGUUUUGAUUAAUGUUUUCUAGUGGGUUUAUAACUUUUGGUUUUCAAAAUAUAUUGUUUCAUCAGUUUUGAAUAAAAUAUAUAUAUAUAUAAUUUUUUUCUUUUAAGACAGGGUCUCCCUCUGUUGCCCAGGCUGGAGUACAGUGGCGUGAUUGCUCACUGCAACUUCCGCCCCUCAGGCUCAAGUGAUCCUCCCGCCUUAGCCUCCCAAGUAGCUGGGACUACAGGCAUACACCAGUAUGCCUGGCUAAUUUUUAUAUUUUUU